ACGGCGAGUGAACCGGGAUCAGCCCAACUUGAAAAUCUCUUCGGAGAAUUGUAGUCUAAAGAAGCGUCCUCUGUAGCGRCACUUUCCCAAAUCCGGUGGAAGCCGGUGUCAGAGAGGGUGAAAACCCCGUCGGAAACGUGCUUAGCUGCUCCACGAGGUGCUUUCCAUGAGUCGGGUUGCUUGGGAAUGCAGCCCAAAUCGGGAGGUAAAUCCCUUCUAAGGCUGAAUACUGGCGAGAGACCGAUAGCGAACAAGUACCGUGAGGGAAAGAUGAAAAGAACUUUGAAAAGAGAGUUAAAAAGUGCUUGAAAUUGUUGAGAGGGAAGCGAUUGGAAGCCGUGUGUGCGCCUGGGUCGAUAGGAUUUUAACGAGUCCUUGUAGAUGCCAGGUGCUGGUCAGCAUGGGUUUUUCGGUCGGGAUAAAUGCUUGGGGUGAUUCCCUUUGUUUAUGCCGAUUGAGAGACCAAGGCGUUAACGCUGCUUUGUCCUAUGGAACUGCAGUCGUCAAUAUGCUGGCAGAAGGCUUCCAAUCGGCCCGUCUUGAAACACGGACCAAGGAGUCCAACAUGUAUGCGAGUCGGUGGGUGUCAAACCCAUUGGCGCAAGUAACCUGACUCUAGGUGGGAACCUUUUAACCGAGGUGCACCAUCGACCGACCCUGAGCUUUUUGCGAAAGGUUUGAGUGCGAGCAUAAAUGUUGGGACCCGAAAGAUGGUGAACUAUGCCUGAGCAGGGUGAAGCCAGAGGAAACUCUGGUGGAGGCUCGUAGAUGUGCUGACGUGCAAAUCGCUU
rnacentral:rRNA from 1 species